AGUGAACGCUGGCGGUAGGCCUAACACAUGCAAGUCGAACGGCAGCACAGGAGAGCUUGCUCUCUGGGUGGCGAGUGGCGGACGGGUGAGGAAUACAUCGGAAUCUACUCUGUCGUGGGGGAUAACGUAGGGAAACUUACGCUAAUACCGCAUAGGACCUACGGGUGAAAGCAGGGGACCUUCGGGCCUUGCGCGAUUGAAUGAGCCGAUGUCGGAUUAGCUAGUUGGAGGGGUAAAGGCCCACCAAGGCGACGAUCCGUAGCUGGUCUGAGAGGAUGAUCAGCCACACUGGAACUGAGACACGGUCCAGACUCCUACGGGAGGCAGCAGUGGGGAAUAUUGGACAAUGGGCGCAAGCCUGAUCCAGCCAUACCGCGUGGGUGAAGAAGGCCUUCGGGUUGUAAAGCCCUUUUGUUGGGAAAGAAAUCCAGCUGGCUAAUACCCGGUUGGGAUGACGGUACCCAAAGAAUAAGCACCGGCUAACUUCGUGCCAGCCGCCGCGGUAA
rnacentral:rRNA from 1 species